GAGGGUGUAGCUCAGGGGUGGGGUGUGUGGUUAGCGCACACGAGGUCCUGGGUUCAACCCCCAGCCCCUCCA
rnacentral:tRNA from 1 species